UUAUAAUGAUGAAUUUUUUGUUAUUGCAUUUUUCUGGCAUCUCUAAUGUUAGGGUGAGGCGUUUAAGUACGAUCCACUCGAUGAAUACACCAUUGACUACAUCUCUGAAA
rnacentral:snoRNA from 1 species